rnacentral:rRNA from 1 species
UACGUAGGGUGCGAGCGUUGUCCGGAAUUAUUGGGCGUAAAGGGCUCGUAGGCGGUUUGUCGCGUCGGCAGUGAAAUCCACUGGCUUAACUGGUGGCUUGCUUUCGAUACGGGCAGACUGGAGGUAUGCAGGGGAGAACGGAAUUCCUGGUGUAGCGGUGAAAUGCGCAGAUAUCAGGAGGAACACCGGUGGCGAAGGCGGGUCUCUGGGCCGGUACCGACGCUGAGGAGCGAAAGCGUGGGGAGCGAACAGG